rnacentral:rRNA from 1 species
GACGAACGCUGGCGGCGUGCCUAAUACAUGCAAGUCGAACGCAGUGGGGACGGGUGAGUAACACGUGGGUAACCUCCCAUCAGAGGGGAUAACACUUGGAAACAGGUGCUAAACCGAUACUGAUGGAUGGACCCGCUGUGCAUUAGCUAGUUGGUGCGGUAACGGCUCACCAAGGCCACGAUGCUUAGCGUAGCUGAGGGGGUGAUAGGCCAACCUGGAACUGAGAAACGGCCCAGACUCGUACGGGAGGCAGCAGUAGGGAAUCUUCGGCAAUGGACGAAAGUCGGACCGAGCAACGCCGCGUGAGUGAAGAAGGUGUUCGGAUCGUAAAACUCUGUUGUUAGAGAAGCGGUAUCUAACCAGAAAGCCACGGCUAACUACGUGCCAGCAGCCGCGGUAAUAC